rnacentral:lncRNA from 1 species
ACAGCAUCUGUGAUUGCAAAGCGUGACAAUUUAUAUCUCUCAUUUCAUCACACCAUCUAUCAGCAGACAGUCAGGCUUUAAAAAUCAAUCCCACACUGACUCAGUCCCCAGCAGAGAUGGCCUCUGACAACAGUAUCCACACUGCAGGCUGGACAAGGGCCCUAUUAAUUUUGAGACUCAGCCAAAUUUCCUUCUGACCCUAAGCUGGUGAAUCCCUGCUCCUUUGCUUUGGUUGGGGUUGGUGUGAGCUAAGGCUGUGAUCCCAUUUGCUCCUAUGGCCUCCAGGUGGCCUGGGCCUCCAUGAAUGGGCCACAUGGUCAUACUGAAUGCUUGAUUACACUCAGACCUAGCAGUCGUCUGGGCGCAGCUGGUUUAUGGAUCACUUUGUCACAAUGUUCCAUCCUUCCAGGUCCCCAUCCCCGCGGUGGGAAAACAUUGCUUUAGGCAGUGCUAGAGGACUUCAGCAGGCAUUGGCAGCUUCUGGAUUCAGGAUUAGAACAAAGAAGGAGGAGUCACAGCAAAGAUAGGAACAGAAGGCAGAGAGAACAGACAGAUGGGGGUGUUUGAGAAGGAGGGCCUUUGAGACCUCAGGGAGUGGGAGACACUGGCUCGAGAAUAAUAAUAAUGGCAAUUUCUCUCAUCUGUGUUUUCAGGGCAUGGACUGGAACUCCCAAUACCCCUGACAUGGGCUGAGUCAACGUGGUCAUGAACAUGUGACAGGAGGCAGCAGAAGUUGCAGAGAAGAGUGAGGCACGUUUGAAAAAGGCUGAAAAAUGUUUCUGUCCAGGCAAGGGUGUGUGCUGAAUGACUCAAGGAUUUUUUGGCUGAUUUAGUAAACAAACAAGAAUGAAGAAGGAAACCAUAGCUGAGUGGCAGAGCGUGCCUGGCUGUUUACACAGGACUCCAGGGCAGGGCUCCUGGAGAGGGACGUGCCAGAGG